UCGGUUUGUGGCCAUCUGACUUCUCUCCGA
rnacentral:piRNA from 1 species